GUCUCUCUGCAGAGCGCUUGUCCCUUUCAACAGAUCGACACAUUGCUCCCAGCUUAGUGUCAUUGCAAAUUUACUGCUGUGUUGCAUGGGGAAAUAUUUUUUUGCGUAUGUUGUUUUUCUCCAGUCUUUUCCUUAGUGGGAAUUAUAUUCUCUGAGACUAGACAGUGUGGUAAUAGGUCAGCACUGGGGCUGGUGGUGUUUGAUGGCCCAGAUCAACGGAAGCGUGUCAUUUCUUCUGGUUUCUCUUUUAUUUUUAAGGCCUGUGAUCCUUAAAAUAUGCUUAAAGAAAAACAUUAAUUUCUUUGCACUCUAAGUAAGCAAACUUUCUUUACAACGUUUUCAGAUGAUACAGGUGUGGGAGGUUUUUAGCAUGUUUGGCAUGUUUUAUUGCACUUAGCAUUUGAUAACACAGAAGUGUAAAAUAUCUUGAUAUUUUUCUCACUUUUUGGGUGGUGUCAUGUGAUGUUCUGAAUUAUCUGGUAAAAUAAGCCAAUUUCUUUCCAGGAAACCAGCCCCAAAAUGAGUAACGGAUAAGCAUGCUGCUUGCUUCCGAGCACAGAGUCGUGUCUCAGGAGGUUCAUAUGUUAUCCCUGGGUUGUACAGUGCAUGUUUCCAGUUUCUGACCGUGUGGAACAAUGUGGGCUUGUAUGAGAGUGUGGUAGUGGCACAAGUUAAAAGCGGUGAAGGAAUACUUGAGGAGACGGGAGAUGUUGCAGCCUGUUCGGCGGCUCACUGCUGUCUGCCUGCUGGGGUUUGCUGUCCACAUCUGUUUGCUCAGUAGUUCUGUAGACAUAUCCAGGCUUGCAGGUAUUCACUGUUUUCACUUGGAAGCUGUGCAAAAUAAAUAUUUUAAUUUUCUUUUUUUUUAAAAAAAAAAUAAUUUAGGGUGGUUUAAGCUGUGUUGGCUGAUGUGACCAGUAUGAGAAGUACUUGUUUUCUUGCUCAUGCUGUAGGAAGGGGUGCAUGAGCAGCAACCUAGAUUGUGUGGAGCUGUGCUACUCUAGCAAAAGAACGAUAUGCAAAUAGUGCAGUCAUCCAGCAGAUGGGUGGCAAUGAAAUAUCUGAGAUACUCCAGAUACAUCGUGGGCUGAAGCAUCUGAGACACUCCAGCUGAGUCUGUGCAUUGGAAGCUUCCCUCUUACUGGUGGGCUGGAAGCACAUGCAGUAUGGCUCUGACUAAAAGCUGUCUUGAAUAAUGGAUUUAAAAUCUUGCAUAAUAGUCUGUUGAAAGCUGACGUGCAAAAAAUUUGGGAAUAGUGAGACAGCGGCAUUUGUAAAUGGCAUGACAAAUAACACAUUUGUACAGAUAGAGCUCUUUAUAAAAGGUAGGUAAUUGGUGUAUGUCGUGUGAGAACUUGACUGUUACUAAAAGCACUCUGAAGCAAGCUGCGAAGCAAAAUAUUGCACCAUGCUGUCUACCACAGUAUAAUUGCAAAAGUAGGAGGUGUUCUUUUCUGGGACUGGCCAUCAGGAAGAUAUGCCUAGAUCAUGAUCUCCUUUAGGAGACCUCAGCAUAGGUACAGGUCAAAGGGAAAUGGGGGAAAAUUCAGGUGCAUAGGAACUUCCAAGCAAAAGUGGUUCAACAGUUUUGGUAUUUUGUCCUGCAUUUUACUCUGUAAAUGCAUUUGCAGAGUAAAAUUCAUGCUGUAUUUAUGGCAUACAAACCCUUUUCGUGCAGCCAAAUUAUUGCAUUUUCUGGGGCAAAACUGGCUACAUGCAGUUAUUAUACAUGCUUAUGUGUGGUUCUCUCUAAAGGCUUCCACAGAGUGGAAAUAAACCAAUAAUUUGAAUCAGAUUAUCAGUCUGUCCUUCAAAAAAGCUGGUAGCUGCUCUCCAGGAUAGAAGAGAUCCUUUUUCAGCUAGAGAAUUUCAAAUAACACAUGAAGAGGGAAGGAAGUAUUGCAAUGAUUACUCCUUGUUGUAAUAGAAAAACUAUAUGGUGAGUCUUUAGAAUGUGCUGAGUAUCUCCUUAUUGGCUUAAUUUAAUUAUUUUUAUUUUGUAAGGAGUAAGACAGCAAUUCUGCUGUCUCUUUCCCACCCAUCCUUGGGGUAAGCUGUGUUUUCACUUGAGUGGGAUAGUUGAAAACCUUUUAUGAUUGCCAAGAUGAGGUUUGCAAACAAAGCAGAAAGCUUUCUACAACACAGGAUAUGCUUGAAAUAUGACACAAGUGUUUCCAAUGGCUGCUGUAAUGAAUGUUUUCUGGGGUUUUUGAAAUUAUUUCUUUAGAGGUCUGGCAGUACUUUAGAAGGCCUUAGUGGGAAGAAUUGUGGGAAAAUUAUUUUGUAAAACUAUUUCAAGUCUUGCAUAGCCAAUCUGGAUUCAGUUGAUACAGCUGAGUAGUUGAAAAACUUUUUAACUGUUGAUAUCACACUAUAAUGAACACUGUAGUAAUUUCUUCAGUGUAACAGAAAAAUGUCCUAACUGAAAAAUUAACCAAGUUUAAGGAGUUGGGGUUUCAAACCAUAAAAAACAAAAACCAACAACCAAACAAAAAACUAAAAAAAACCCCACCAAAACCUCAAUCCUGGAUCAGAUAAUUAAGAAGCUAGUCAUAAAUACUGUUUUUGAAUCAGAUGAAAAGCUCCACCUCUAUCCAGCUUUUAAUACCACAUCUAAAACACAGAAAUUACUCUCACUGCUGAGUGAUGGUAAGUUGAGUGUAAAAGCACAUGAGGUUAAAGCAAACUGUUCCACUGCACAUAACAGAUUGGGCAGUUAAGUUUGAGAGCCUAGGAUUAGGUUUGUCAAAGAACAGAAAGGAGAAUGCUGAAAAUUAAUUUGUUAUAAUGAACAGGUGCAAGAAGCACUUCUGGAGGACUUGGAAUAAUUUUUGCACUCUGGGAUAGCUUAACUCCAGUUAAUGUUUCAGUGCCUUCAUUGUCAUUGUGCAUACAUCUGGAGAUGCAUUGUCUCUCCCAUGAAAGGGUAAUCCAUCCUGUUCAAUAGUAACAGCUCUUUUUCCUUGAAACAGUGAAGUAUCAGAUUUUGCAGCAUGUGGGACAAAAGGCUCCUUUGCUGCUUCUCAGAAUAAGAUUACAGUUGUCACAUUUCUCCUUCAUCAGCGUGCCUGACACAUCAGAGUAUGGCUCAGACUUCCCUUUGUUAAUAGAACAGAAAGAGGACCUUUAUACUCUUCCAUUAUUAGUAGUUUUUAUUUUUCCUAUUUAAUGCACAUGACUUAUGCCUAAUUCCCCUUCAGGAUUUUGUUUCAAAAGUUCGGUUUCAGUUAACUCAAACUUCUGAGCAUCCUUCUGAAAAGAUUUCAUCUACAAGAAAUAUUACUUGUAAUGAGGGAAAAAUAUUAUGCCAGCUUUGUGAACACUCCAUACAACACUGCUGACUGGAAAACCAGAGAAAACAGUCAAAUGCAGGUUUGUCUCUUAAACUAGACAAGUGUGAUGAGUUAGAACUGCUGCUGAGGAUGGGCCAGGCAGUGAUGACACUGGUGUGCUUUCCUCUUGGUGUGCUUCAGAAGAAAGACAGAAACAAUACUAGUAACUGAAAUAAUAACAGCACUCAUUUCUGGGCAAUAGGUACAGAGAUCUGGAGUCAUGUUGCUUCCAGGCUUUGUGUCCAAAUCCAGGCAUGCCAGCAGAGAAAAAUCACAAGGUUUGAUAAGUAAGAUGCAGGUGACUUUGUUACUGAACCAUUCCUGAUGCACCUCUACUAGCAAUUGCUAUGAGUAAGUUAAGAGUUUGCUGCCUCUGUACACCUCAGCUUAUUAAAAGUGUUGCCUAAGUUGCAUCAGCGUAACUAGAAAUAAAAUAGUAUUUGGUAUUUUAAUUUAAACAGGUUUUAGGGCUUCCAGUGUAGAAGACAGGCUUAUCUUUUUCAGCUUCUUUUCCAUAAGGGAAAGUGAGGAGUUUGUUCAGCUUCUGUACAGAAAAAAUACAUUUAGACAUUCUUUGCAUAACUGUGGGGAAGCAAAGGUUGCUUUGCUGUCUCAUUGUUCAGAUUUCUUAAUCUCAUAAUACAAGUUAACUGUGAAAAUACUCUGAAAAAUACCCACUGGAAUUAUGAAGAAAUGGUCUGGGCCGUACUGGGUUCCCACACCACAUGUUUUUGAGUUAAAUUUUGUCGAAGACACAUGUGCUAUUGUUCCAUGCAGUUAUACCAUGGCAAGUGACCAGUAGCAACUGAGUAACAGAUACUUUGUAAAUAGUCACAGCUUCAGUGGCAGUUCUUGACACGCGUGGCUUAAAAUUGCCGUUUGUUGUUGUUUCUUUUUUUGUUUUGUUUUAUGUAUUUUGUUCUGUAUUCUGAAAGCCUGUCUCUUAUUUUUUCCCCCUGUGUGUGUGUGUGUGUUCCAGUGACUUUAUAACAUGCAAGGCACUGAUACCAGGGGGAGCUCCCCUGCAUUCCUCCAUCCUCAGAACGGGAGCAGUCACAGGUCUUCGGGGUAUGUCCUGGGGAGAAUUGCCCCUCUCCGUCCCCCGCCACCUUCGCAGAGCCAUGCUGCAGCAGAAUUUACCUCGGCAAGACAAGAAGCCCAGACAAGACUCCCGUCCUUACCAGUGGAGCAGCACCGCCGACAGGCAGAAGCCAACAGGCAUAAAAAUACUCUUAUUUGCUCUGCCAUUUCUAGCCUUUCACUUUUUGUUGCACUGGGGAUUUUUUUGGGAAUAGCUUCAAAAUAUGCUCCAGAUGAGAAUUGUCCUGAUCAGAAUCCUCGCCUUAAAAACUGGAGCCCUGGCAAAGAUCCUGAAAAACGAGUUAUUAUCAAAAAAGGGGAUUUGUUUCGUCUGAACUCAGACGCUACAGUACACUCUAUAGUUAUACAGGAUGGAGGUUUACUUGUUUUUGGUGAUGAUAAAGAAGGUUCUAAAAAUAUUACCUUGAGAACUCGAUUUAUCCUGAUAAAGGAUGGUGGAAUGCUUCAUGUUGGAGCAGAGAAAUGCCGCUAUAAAUCCAAAGCAACUAUUAUUUUGUAUGGGAAGUCAAACGAAGGUGCUGAUGUGCCAGAAUUUGGCAAAAAAUUUAUUGGCGUGGGCCCUGAAGGAACACUGGAGUUGCACGGGCACCAGAAGGUAUCAUGGACUCUUCUGUCAAAGACUAUGUAUUUCUCAGGGCUGGCCUAUGGUCAUUAUACAUUUAAAAAGAAUUUUUCCCGAGGACUAAAUGUUAGAGUGAUCGAUCAAGAUACAGCAGAGGUUUUGGAAGUGCUGAAGUUUGAUACUCAUGAAUUUGCAGAGGAAAGCUUAAAGCUCCAGAACUUACUGAAAAAUGGGCAUCCUGGUCGUAUUAUUGCUAUUGCUGUGGGAGAUUCAGCUGCUAAAAAUCUUUUGGAAGAAACCAGAGUGACUGUUCAAAAUCUUCUGGGAAGUAAGUUUGUCAGAGGAUUAAGUUACAGGCAAGCCUGGGCUUUAGUUGGUGUCAUAGGUGGUGGAAAUUCUUCCUGUAAUGAAUCAGUGAGAAACUAUGAAAACCACAGCACUGGUGGGAAAGCUCUUGCUCAGAAAGAGUUUUUCACAGUGGAUGGUCAGAAGUUUGUUGUGAGAGCUUACAGCGAAUGGAAUGAUGGUGUCCCUAUAUCAGGCUUCCAGGUGGAAGCAGUGGGUGGAGUAAUACUGAAUCUUCUGGAUGAUGUUAGUAGUUGGGAGCCUGGAGACAGGAUUGUGGUUGCGAGCACAGACUAUUCGAUGUAUCAGACAGAGGAAUUCACCCUCCUUCCCUGCCCAGAGUGUACCAUGCAUCAGGUUAAAGUCAAAGAAAACCCUCAGUUUCCUCAUGUAGGAGAAGUAAUUGAUGGAGUGGACAUGAGAGCAGAAGUUGGAGUUCUUACAAGAAAUAUCCUAAUAAAGGGGGAGACAGAAAAUACCUGCUAUCUUGAAAAGGAGUGUCAAUUCUUCAGUUAUGAUACAUAUGGUGGACAUAUCAAGAUUUUGAAGAAUUUUACAUCUGUUCACCUUUCCUAUGUGGAAUUGAAGCAAAUGGGCCAGCAGCAGAUUGGAAGUUACCCUGUUCACUUUCACCUCUGUGGAGAUGUGGAUGAAAAAGGAGGAUAUACUUUUAAAACUUACCUGGAAGGUCUUUCCAUUCAUCACUGUUUUUCCAGAUGUGUGACUGUUCAUGCAACUAAUGGUUUACUGAUAAAGGACACCAUUGGCUAUGACACACUAGGUCACUGUUUCUUCAUAGAAGAUGGCAUUGAGCAGAGGAAUACUUUGUUCCACAACCUUGGGCUAGUCACAAAACCAGGCACUAUUCUACCUACGGACAGAAACAGCAGCAUGUGUAUUGGGAUUAGGGAUAAGGUGUAUGGAAGUUAUGUCCCAGUGCCAGCCACAGACUGCAUGGCUGUUUCAACAUUCUGGAUUUCUCAUCCCAACAAUCACCUUAUAAAUAAUGCAGCAGCAGGCUCACAGGAUGCUGGAAUUUGGUAUUUGUUCCACAGAGUUGCUACAGGAGAUUCUCAUAGUUUAGGCAUUGAAACCAAAUCAGAGCUUACACCCCUAGGAAUCUUCUAUAACAACAGGGUUCAUUCUAAUUUUAAGGCUGGUUUGUUCAUUGAUAAGGGUGUUAAAACAACUAAUGCUAGUGCUGAUGAUCCCAGAGAAUAUCUUUGUUUGGACAACAACGCAAGGUUUCGACCUCAUCAAGAUGCAGACCCUGAAAAGCCCCGAGUUGCUGCCCUGAUUGACAGAUUAAUCUCUUUCAAAAACAAUGAUCAUGGAGCCUGGGUCAGGGGAGGGGAUAUCCUCAUUCAGAACUCUGGGUUUGCAGACAAUGGAAUAGGUUUGACAUUUGCUAGUGAUGGGAGCUUCCCAAAUGAUGAAGGUGCCAGCCAGGAAGUAUCAGAAUCGCUGUUCAUAGGUGAGAGCAAGAAUUAUGGGUUUCAAGGUGGACAAAAUAAAUAUGUGGGAACUGGAGGAAUAGACAACAAGACACGCACACUGCCUAGAAAUCGGACAUUUCCAAUCAGAGGCUUUCAGAUUUAUGAUGGACCUGUUCACCUUACCAAGUGCACAUUUAAAAACUUCAUGCCAACUCCAGACAGAUUUACCAGUGCAGUUGGAUUCUUGAUGAAAAAUCCCUGGCAGAUGACUCCAAAAAAUAACAUUUCUCUUGUGAAGUUUGGUCCAAACGUUUCUUUGAAAGCCUUCUUUGGAAAGCCUGGUCCCUGGUUUGAAGAAGGAGAUCUGGAUGGUGACAAGAACUCAAUAUUUCAUGAUCUAGAUGGUUCAGUCACUAAUUACAGGGAUACCUAUGUGGGCCGAAUGGAUAAUUACUUGAUUCAACACCCCAGAUGCAUUAACAUCACAGAAUGGAGUGGAGUGAUUUGCAGUGGGAACUAUGCACAGGUUUAUGUCCAAACCUGGAAUGGACAGAAUCUUUCCAUGACUAUUGUCCGAGAUGAAUAUCCUGCCAAUCCCAUGGUUCUUCGAGGUAUUAAUCAGAGAGCAGCUGCCUUUCAGCAAUACCAGCCAGUGGUGAUGCUCCAAAAGGGCUAUACAAUACACUGGAAUGGAAAAGCUCCAAAUGUCACCUAUCUGUAUCUCAUUAACUUCAACAAGAAUGACUGGAUUCGUGUUGGUCUUUGUUACCAACCAAAGACAGAUUUUCUUAUAGUAUUGGAAACCUUUCAAAGGCGGUCAUCUGCUCUGUCAAGCAAGGUGGAGCGCUACAUGCCUGUAUCUUCAAUGAUGGAGCUUGAAAAGAAUCGAUCGGACAAGAGGUUUUACUUUGACAACAGUACUGGAUGGUAUUCACCAGUGACCCUCACAAAAACUACCUCCUUGUGCAGAUCAAUUCAGCUGAUGAAAAAGAGUUAAGCAGAGGUCAGCAAGCAUUUAUAUAUGUCAAUGAAACCAUGUUUUCCUUCAAGGGUAAUGGAAUACUUACUGUUGUAGUAGAUGCCUGCACUGGCACAGUGUUGGGAAACAGAUUAUUUUCUGGAGUAGACAUUAGGCAUGUUGACAGAUAUUUAAAAUCUGGAAUUCCACAAAGGUCUAUCAUUCUGCUGAGCACAAGAGGUGAUGUAGCAAUUCCUAAUAAUUUAUCUGAAGCCUUAACGUCCCUGGGGACAGCGAAACCACCUUAUCUUCAGAGCAACGGAAGCUUGGCCUUUCUGGGCUUCAGAGGAAACAUUAAGCCAUCCUGGAUUAAGCUGUUUACCAGUCCUGCUGGGCAUGGGCUCGUUCAGAUAGAAAAGUAUAUCCCUCUGCAACUGGAAGAGUAUGGCUGUGCCAGAGUAACUAAAAGCCGUCGGAAAGACCUCGAGCUUCUGAAGAAGGCUGCACGAUCUCAUUAAAGACUAAGAUGUACAUAAAAUCUGGGGGGAAAAAAUGUGAACUAACUUAUUUUUUAAUUUAUGGCAUUUUAAACUAUAUUGUUAUCCAAGUAAAUCAUGUUAUUGUCUGACAGAUGUUUGCCAGCAUUGACCGCUUGAAUGCCAAUCUGUGCACCUUCUAGUUGUACAAAAUAUUAAAGAAUUUAUUAGUAUUUGUAUAAACAGGUUUCAGAGUUUUUCAGAUGUUUGUAUUUACUGUAACCAAGUUCCUUCUGUUUAAUACUCCUUUUGUAUGUAAGAGGGUAUUCAUAAAAGCCUUAAGUUUUUAAUAACAGGUGUUGGAGUGCAUUUUGGAUUACUUGAAAGAUUAACAUCAAUGCCUUCAUAAACAGCUUCAAUUGGUCAUUACAACUUAAGCAUUUUUCCUUCAGCUGUUUAGAUGUUUCCUUGGGAGUUUAUUUAUCAGUCAGCUCAGUUACAUUCUCAUUCUGCUUCCCAAUGUGUUAAAACCCAAUUUCCCCUAUGCAUUCAGCUGACUGAAGGGACUUUAACUGCAGUAAAAAUUUUUGCUUUCCUGUGUGAAAGUUGGAGGGAGGAAUUCAAAGAUCCAGCCUGGGGCUGGGUUAGGAUUGUGUACCAUUCAGCAGAGUUUUACAAGGCUAUGUGUACAAGCAUGGUAUGCAGAGCCGGAAAUUACUCCUGUUCUUUAGGAUCACUGUUUAUUAUUCCCUCUAAAUACACAGGUGUGUCUGUAAGAGUUACUUUAAUAAACAGUCUAGAAGUUAAGGCUGCAGUCUUGAAUACAGCUUGACUUCAGCUUAGUUUUUUAAAGCUUUUAGCCAGAAGGGCAAAGCUGAGAUACUGUUACUCUCAAUUUGUUAGGAAAUUAGGCUUUUACGCUUGCAGUGGUGGGUUUGUUUUUUUUGUUGUUGUUGUUUUGGGGAGUUUUGUUUUGUUGGUUGUUUGGUUUUGGGUCGUUGUUUUUGUUUGGUUGGUUUUUGGUGUUGAUUUUUCUUUAAUUAUUUUUAAGACUAUCUCAGCUUUAACUUCUAAGUGAAUGAAAAGUGCUCUCAGUUCAGUAAGUCAUACCUUCUGCCUUAACUUUGAUUCUUUUAGUGUACACAUGUUAAUUCCUGGUGACUUUAUAUUAGGUCUGUUGAUUUCAUCUGGUUUUGUUGCAAUUAUGUGACUCUGACAACAGAGUGAAAAUCAUUUAGAAUAGUGGCACGGCUGCUUUUUUUUCAAAAUCCUCGUCUUUGAAAUUAAAUUUCAGGGACUGUAAAGAUGCAUUUCAUAAUAGGGAACAAUAGGUGACAUAGGGCUAAAAUGUAACCCUAGUUCUAAUAAAACUGACAUAUUUCCUUCUUCUUGUAUAUGUUCUCAUUCAUUCGAGCUGGUAUAAUGUAGCUACCAUUCAGAGAUGCUUUGUGCUUUGAAUUCAGAAUAGAGUGACUGUUGGAAAUGGACUAUAUGCCUGUCUUCUCCAAAGAUGUUGAAAAACUGUGGGGAUUUUUUUUGUGCUUUAAAGGAGAGGAGGCACAAUAUCAAAUGUAUUACUCUGUUCAAUUAAAAUAUGCUACCUCAGUGCUACAAUUAAACUGCCUGGUCUAGUGUAGUUUCCUAAGUGAGAAGGGAGGGGGUAAGGAGUAUGACACAAGAGUUCAAGUUAACAAAUAGAUGACCGAUAUUAUUUUUACUGUAAAACCAAGCCAAAUGGAUGAUUGUGUAUUUCACAGUUCUGAUGCACAGUUCUCUUGUAAUGUUUGAAAGAAAAGUCAUUUUGUUAGGGGAAGCUGUGAUAAAUCUUGAAGAUUAGCUGUAAUGUUUGGUGUUAUUAAUGCAGGGCAGUGUGAUUUAAAUGCUCUGAGUGCAGUAGUGAUAGUGUUUGGGGAUUAAAAUGGCUUUAAGGCUUCCUCUAUUCUGUGGGUUAUGCUCAGCAGAGAAAUGUGAUGAGGUAGUGACCCUCAGGCUUGUGAAGUUGGCCAUUAUUUAUGAUAUUCUGCUGUUCUAAGCGUCUUGUAAAAAUUGUCCUUGGACGUGUCAAGGGUAUUCUGAUGUAGGGCUUACUGGUGAACAAUUGGACCUGAAGUUAAAGUGUUUGUCUUUUGUGUAAAUUUAAACACUUGAUAAAUAGCAUAAAUAAAUUUUUACAUCUGACAAGGCAAUAAAAUUUUGGGUGUCUUCUGUUGUAUCAA